rnacentral:rRNA from 1 species
ACGCUCGACACCUACGGGAGGCAGCAGUGGGGAAGUAUUGCACAAUGGGGGAAACCCGUGAUGCAGCGACGCCGCGUGAGCGAAGAAGUAUUUCGGUAUGUAAAGCUCUAUCAGCAGGGAAGAAGAAAGACGGUACCUGACUAAGAAGCCCCGGCUAACUACGUGCCUGCAGCCGCGGUAAUCUGAGCGGGCCGUGGCAAGGC